CGGGGUGUGAUGAAAUUGGUAUACAGUCCGGUCUUAGAAAUCGGUGGAGCAAUCCGUGUGGGUUCGAAUCCCACCACCUCGACCA
rnacentral:tRNA from 1 species